UCGAAAUUAUGCCCCACUGUCUGCCCCGCUGUCCGCCCGCAUUUCUGAACCAAUGGUUGGACUGAUAUCUGCCCGAAUAUUUGAAUUGACGUCUGACCGGAUUUGUGAACGCAUGUCCGCCCGGAUAUCUGCCCACACGGAUAGCGGAGUGGACUGCGGGGCAGACGCCGGAGACGCUGGAAUGAUAAGUACCUGCAAUUUGUACUCCAAGUUCCCAGAACUGUGAAUCCACGCUCAACACUUAACCAGAGAUUCACCAUUCAUGGGCUAUGACCUACGAGCAAAUACAAUACUGCGAUUACAUAUUGUAAUACUCGAAAUUAUGCAGCUGCUGAUCUUCGCAAAAAGCUGCGGCGAACCGAUCUCCCAGAUGAACUCCUUCAGUCUUGGCCCAAUGUAGUGACUCCAAACAAUCCGAAUGCAGUUUGGUCCUUCUGGAAAUACCAAUACAACAAGCACGGCAGCUGCGCCUACUGGAGAUUCCAAAGACUGGAGGCUUACUUUAGAAAAGCAGAUGACUUGUAUCGCAGUGAUAACGUACAACAUUUGUAUGAUUCAUUCACCAGCAAUCGCCAAGUCUCUGCUAUCAGAUAUAUGAAUGACGAAAAAAAUUAUGGAGGGAAAUUUCCAGGACUGCGGUGCAAUGGAACGGGAUUCCUGAUGGAAGUGAUUAUCUGUUACACAAAAAAAGCAACUAAAAUGAUUGAUUGCCCUAAACGGGGGAAUUGUACGAGGCUAAUUGAAUAUCCAAUGUAAACAGCCCCUUAGUUCA